rnacentral:rRNA from 1 species
UAGUAACGGCGAGUGAAGAGGGAAAAGCUCAAAUUUUGAAUCUGACGUCUUCGGCGUUCGAGUUGUAAUCUAGAGAAGUGUUUUCCGUGUCGGACCGUGCACAAGUUCCCUGGAACGGGGCGUCAUAGAGGGUGAGAAUCCCGUACGUGGCGCGGACUCCCGGUGCUCUGCGAUACACUCUCAACGAGUCGAGUUGUUUGGGAAUGCAGCUCAAAAUGGGUGGUAAAUUCCAUCUAAAGCUAAAUAUUGGCGAGAGACCGAUAGCGAACAAGUACCGUGAGGGAAAGAUGAAAAGCACUUUGGAAAGAGAGUGAAACAGUACGUGAAAUUGUUGAAAGGGAAGCGUUUGAAGUCAGUCGCGUCUGUCGGGGUUCAGCCUGGCUUCUGCCUGGUGUAUUCCCUGUCCGACGGGUCAGCAUCAGUUUCGACCGAGAGAAAAAGGCUUGGGGAAUGUGGCCGUCUUCGGGCGGUGUUAUAGCCCUUUGUCGUAUGUCUCGGUUGGGACUGAGGACUGCAGCGCGCCUUACGGCCGGGGUUCGCGCCCUCGGUACGCGCUUAGGA